rnacentral:rRNA from 1 species
AGCAGUCGCCGCGGUAAUACGGAGGGGGCUAGCGUUGUUCGGAAUUACUGGGCGUAAAGCGCACGUAGGCGGCUUGGUAAGUUAGAGGUGAAAGCCCGGAGCUCAACUCCGGAAUUGCCUUUAAGACUGCCGAGCUAGCAGGUGAGAGAGGUAAGUGGAAUUCCGAGUGUAGAGGUGAAAUUCGUAGAUAUUCGGAAGAACACCAGUGGCGAAGGCGGCUUACUGGCUCAUACUGGACGCUGAGGUGCGAAAGCGUGGGGAGCAAACAGGAUUAGAUACCCCUGUAGUCCCUGUCUCUUAUAU